GACGUAGGGCGCGAGCGUUGUCCGGAUUUAUUGGGCGUAAAGAGCUCGUAGGCGGCUUGUCGCGUCGUUCGUGAAAACCUGCAGCUCAACUGCAGGCUUGCGGUCGAUACGGGCAGGCUAGAGUUCGGUAGGGGAGACUGGAAUUCCUGGUGUAGCGGUGAAAUGCGCAGAUAUCAGGAGGAACACCGGUGGCGAAGGCGGGACUCUGGGCCGAUACUGACGCUGAGGAGCGAAAGCGUGGGGAGCGAACAGG
rnacentral:rRNA from 1 species